AUAUUUGUAUUGUUACUUUUAGGGUUUAGAUUUUUUUGUUGUGAUUAUUUAAAACAAUUUUUACAUUUUUAAAAAAUGUUACAUAUUAAUAUUGAUUAAAGGUAAAAUGUUACAUAUUAGUCAUUAAUCUUUAAAUCAAAGGUUAAAAUUUUCAUUUUUAUAGUAGAGGACAAGUGUUAGUUUCUAAUCUCUUUAAAAAUUCUUUUAAAUAGAGUAGUAUGGAUCUCUUAAAAUUUAGAAGAAUUUCAAAUAUUGGAAAUAUUAAAACAAUUAUAAGAUUUAUCAUAAUUAAAAUCCUAUGUAUGUGUAUGAUGUAUGGGUGAAAUCUUCUAGAUAAAAAAGAUUCUCUUUUUGUAUAAGUCAUGACCCAUAGUAUCAUAUGUAUUAAUAGUAGUAAAAUUUAUAGUAUUUUACAAGUCUAUUUUAGUUCAAAAAAUUUGAAAAUUACUUAAAUUUGGUAUGUUUAAUGUGUGAUUUCUUGAUCGUUAGGUUUAAGACAUAUAGGACGUGAAAGAUAGAUGAAUGCCAUGCAAUUCCAUGCAAGAUUAGCAUAAUCCCAAUUCUUGUAGUAUUCAGACAAUUUAAUAAAGGAAAGUAGUUGAAUCCUAUUAGCAUUAAGACUCAUAAACCCAUUUGAUUAAAAGACAUACUACUUGCACUAAAACUCUUAUAUCCAUUCAAUUAUCCUACUCACUACUAUUACUGUACAUACAGAGGGGGAGAAGCCCUAAGAAAAGUCUAUUUCGCCUAGUUGAGCUUUUUUGAGUGUGGCGAGGUCUUGAGAGGAAGAAGCUGGCGAGUAGACUUCUUGGGCUAUGUUCGGUAGAAGACUUCCAUAAAUGUUGGAAGGCACCUUCCGCGGGAUGCUGUCCCACUCGCAGGAGCCGACGGGGUGACCCACAUAACGAUCAAAAUGAACUAGUAGCUCAUUUAUUUUCAUUGGUUAGUUUAGGACAGUGGUACCAAAUUACAAUCUUUACGACUAUUAAGAUAAAGACGUAUGAAAGGACUAUGCCCUCCAUGAAGGGCACGACAUAGUAGGUAGCAGAUGUUUAAUUGAAGGGUUGAAAAACUCUACUUAACCACUACAAAAAUUGCGUAAAAAAAACAUAUUUUAAUAAGGGAAUAUAACCUAGCUUAAAUUGAGUAAGAGCAAGAUACUUGACUUAUAUGUCAAUAAAAUGUACCUAAAGGGAAUUAUGUAUCAAUAUUAGAGUUAAAUCAAUAAAAUUUUAAAAAAUUUUAAUUUUCUAAAACCAAGAUCAAUUAAUAAGAUUAUACAAACAAAUAACUUCAUAAACAUGCAUAUGUUUUGGUUUAGGUGCUUACCUUAGAUGUCAAAAUUCUUUUGGUUCAAUUUGGUAAUCUCUUAAAUAAAUUCUAAGUCAAAAAGCUGCCAAAUGUUCAACCUCUAAUGGUGAUCCAUACAAACUCUUAUG
rnacentral:lncRNA from 1 species